UGGAGGUCAGGAGGUACGGUAGGUGUUCAUUAAUUACCCUCUUACUUUAGAUUUAGCCAAAACCUUAAGGAUAAAGUACUUUUAAUACUUCUGCUAAGCACUGUAUUCACAAAAUAAUAUAGUUUCUGUUCUUCCCUUAAGGUGCUUUUUAAAUAGAUGUCUUUAAGCCUUUUUUCUAAGACGUAAUGGAGGUAACCCAAAAUUCCAAUUCAAAAAUACUUUAUUAAUCCCAAAGGGAAGUUAAAUAAAUAACGCAAACAAUACAAAUAAGACAGUAAAAAUGUAAACAACUAUGGAUGAAUACAUAGAAGUGAAGGAAGUUUUAAGGCAUUUCAGGGAAAACGUGACUGAUUAUAUCCCGUUUUGGAGGAAGAAUUGAGUGAUCAAGAAGAGGGAGCAGGUUCAUCAGAACCUAAUUAUUCUGGUUAGAUUUGAACCAGAAUCUCUUUUUUUAGAAGAGUUAACAGUUCUAAAUAAAGUUUAAAAAUAAAUAAAACACGCUACAAACAUCGUUGCUAGGUAACUUCAGCUACAUUUUCUCAUUUACGAAGUUCAUUCAGUCACCUUCCCGGCAGCCAGUACCAGCUCAUUUUUAAUGGUUUUCUGACUCAGAAAACAUUACUGGUGAAAUUAUGGAGGCUUCUGCGUGGAUUUUUAUGCAAGGACUUGUAGAGAGGCAAGUGCAGGAACAGUUUGACAUACCGGUGCCGAGAUAUUUAGCAAGAGAUGUGAGGCGAGUGCAGAUGUUAUUAAGGGAGCAACAUGCAAAUCAAAACAUGAUAGAAGUCGUCCGUGUUUGGUUGUGGCGCGUUUUGCCCAUUUUUCGUCAUCUUUUUCAGUGGUAGAAGCCUCGUUGAUAGCGGCUCUGGAAAGGUUCUGGGCCAGAGGGAAGAGGAACUCCGAAAACCCUUUUAGUACACCUGACUGUCCUCUACAAGACUUUUUUCUGUCUGACAUACUGCAGCUCCAGUAUCACGUUGAGUUGCCGCGUGCUCUAAACCCCACGUCAGCGGAAGAGGUUUUUUGAGGGUCCUUACAAAAAGCAAAUUUUCCUCUACUGAGCUAUAGAUGGUAGCCUAUUUUAAAAAGAAAAUAAUAACUAUAGAACUUCUUGUC